UCUGGGUGUCAUAUGCCCCUCUGAGAUUUUCUCUCUCCUUGUGUGUACAUGUGUGUAUAAUUGUGUACUUGUGUGUGACUAUAAGGCACCUAUGCUUUUUUAGAUAGGUUUUUGGGUGUAGAAGCAAAUAUGGUAUGUUUAUGGGGUGUACAUAUGGUGAGUGGACACCAGAUUGUUUGCGUACACCUGGGUGUGCGUGUGUCUGCCUGGGAAUGUAAGCCUACAAGCACACACUCAGAAAUGAAGAUUAGGGUGAUGUCCCACUUAGGAGAGUCUGAACAUGUGUGAGGCAUCUGUCUGCAGGUAUUGGGGGGGGGCACAUGAGUGCACCUUUAGGGAGAGGUUGAUGUCUUUCUGUGUGACUUGGGAGGCAAGGUGGGGUUGUCACCUUCUGGGGAAAGGGAGGCUUACUUUAUCACUUUUGGCACCCAAGACAUGCCUGUCAGAAAUCCUCAGUUCCUCAGUCAGUGAGUGGAGAAUGAGAGCUGGGGCUCCUGGAACAGGAAGGCACAGCAGAGAAGUCAGGAGGUCUUCCAAAACAGGAGUGGUCAGACAGGCUUCCAGGACUGGGAGCACAGAGCAACCAUGUCAGGAACAAACAGGAGGGUGCUAGAAUGACCCAUGGCAUCCUGGCUUCUGUGAGCUGUGUCAGGGACUGGGGUGACAGGGGCAGCCCAGAUGAUAGAUCAGACGUAGUCAGUGGACAACAGGAAGAUGUUCUGUAGCCAAAGUGCCAAAGUGCAGAAGAGCAUAGAGGGAUGGUGGGCCCUGCCAGAGAGCAGAAAAGGAAACAGGUUCUGAGAAAAAAGGAGGCCCCCCCACCAGCUGGCUGGGCUGUGGUGCCAUCUUCCACAUACCUCAGCCUGAGGGUUAAACUUGCAUGGACUAGCACCAAGCCAAGCCCCAGGGUCUGUAUGGCUGAGAUGUUUACCAGCCUAAGGUGAUGUGUGGACUGACUUUAGUGAUGAGCCUUGGGAGAAAGAGCAGUUCUAUCCUGAUGUUUGCAGGACUGUAUUUUGCUUGUUGUUUGGCCUUCCCUUUUGCCCCUUAGUACAGUCCCUCAAGGCAAAUAAUAAUUUUGCCCUGUGUGACAUGAGGAGAGGGGAUUCCUCCACAACAAGAGUGGGGAAACCAGAGUUAGGGAGCAGCCAGCUUCUCUGAAAUAUCCAGGAUGCACCUAGAGAGAGGCACCUCUGAUAACUGUUGUCUCCCCAGCUAGGCAUUUCCUCCUCAGCAAUGCAAAAAUAUGUGUAGGUAGGUACAAGAGUAUGCAUGCACACACAUGCAUGUGCACUGUAAACUGCCCAAAUCUGGGUUUUAGAGCUUCCAACUGCCUGGUGCGCUGUGUUGUAAAUUCAGGACUUGUUUGCAGAUAACCUUGAUGGGAGGGAAGGAGGUGAGGGGGACUGGUACCCUGAGAGGAGCAGUGUGGGUUUGGCAGAGCUGUUUUAGAAGCCAUGCCUGUGUACAGGGUUGGGGACAGGGCCAUGCCACACACCGCUGUAUAGUAUGCCCUUGGCUUUGGCACCUGGACCCUGGCAGUUGUGUGAACUGGACACGAUGUCAACAUCACGAGGGUCUUCAUCUUACUUGGAGGCUCACUGAAGCUCUCUCAGGGGACUUCAAGCUUGCUUGUUGGGGACUACAGUGAACAGACAGGUCUUCACAGCAAUUUGUGUCACCCUUUUGGGACUCGCAGACAUAACAACUAUGGGAAUCUUUGCAUCUUUGCCAAGGCGACUGAUGAGGUCAACAGUGAUAAUAGAGGAGGCUCUGAGUCAUGGUACUUGUUUGUAUCGGUAUACAGAAAACCGGUAUAAAUGUUUACAAAUGCAUGUGCGUGUAGCAUUAAGUAUAUAUUCAUUUCCUAUAUACAUAGUGGUUAUUACAAUUUUUAUAUUCAUUAUUAUUAUCAUCAUCAUCUUUCUGCUAGGCAUUGAAAAUAUACACACAAAUGUUAGCACAGAUAACCUCGGGAUGGUGGGAUUAAGGUUAAAUUUUUCCCAAACUCUUUAUAGUUUCAGGGCUUGCAGAAAUGUGUGCAAUGAGCGUGACGCUUUCCUACAAUGCUGAAAUACAAAAAGCUACAAAGUUCCAUCCUUUCUUGACUGUCAAGGCCCAGCAGAAGUCUUGGCCGCUGUGAUAUCUUCUUGAACUCUUACACUGCUUAACGCUUCUUGCGCACACAACUCUCCUGAUGCUCCGUCAGCAAUCAAAUCAUUCGGCACUGUGUCAGAGCAGAAAGGAUGAAACUGCAGUUUGUGGACACUUGCUGCUUUGCAAAAGUGUGUUACUGAUCUGCGCACUACUUCAAAAGAAUUUCCUUCAGAAAGCUGGAGUGCUAUGCUUCUGCGAAAGGAAGGAGAUGGGCUGACUGCUGAUGCCAGGGUUCUUGUUCACAAAGCCAAAGAAUGAGCUUCACAAACAGUCAAGCUUAUAUUACAGGAUUACCAACCCCUCUCCGAAGACGAUGAUCCUUAUUGAACCUGGAAAAUGCCAUCACCACUGCAGACCAAGGGCUCAUCUGAGGACCGCCCCCCAUCAAUACAAAAAUGAACUUCAUCGCCCCUAAUCAGCAGGAAGCAGUUACUGAAGACUAACCUUCACCCCUUCCCAAAUCCUCUACCACUUAUAAAACAGAAAAGGGAGGAAUGUAAGAAUAUAUAAUUUAUCCUCCAUUUGCCCCAUGGUCCCAAGCACAUAAACCAGUGAGAAUUAUGCCUGGGCUUGCCUGGGGCUUGCUGGGCUUACCCCGCCUUAUCUCUAAACAUCCCGACCCUCCCCCAAGGCAACAGGCCUAGCGGAUCCUCCACAAUAAAAGGUACCACGCUGCUGCCCUCUCUUUGUCUCUGUCUCUCUGUCCCCCAGCUCUCCCUGCUCUCUCUCUGCGUCCCACUGCUCUCUGCUGCUCCCUCUCUCUCUCUCCCCACCCCCGUCUGGGGCAGCCACUCUCUCCUUCAGAUAAUAAAUUCUCUUGCGUGGGCCCAUGUCUCCUGCGUCAUUCUGGGUAAGGAGGGUCGCGGCGAGAUCCCCUUUCAGUGUGGACUUGUUAAGUGGUCCCUGAAUAUUAAAAAUUAACAUAAGGAAUUUCCUGCCUUGAUUUCUCUCUGGGACACCGGCGCCUUGGUCCGGGAUCACAUCAAAAGGCUGCCUGCCCAGCCCCCAAGGUGGGCUGAGGUAUUGUCUACUUGCUAAAGAAUCUUGCCUCUUGAAAUUCCUGGGUGUUAAAAUGCAAUCUUAUCUUUAAGGUGGAAUUCUUCCUGCCUUUUACCAUGUUGUCUACAGCUGGGUCUGCAUGCUAAGUAAGUUGCUCAGUUUGCAAAAUCACCUCGUCAGAUCCGAAGGAGGAAAGACAGCACAUAGGCCUGGGCCUUUUAGUAUGCUAAAGUGAAUCUUACACAUGGUUACAAAUGAUUAGCAUAAUAAAACAUGUGCUACUCUUCUUUAUCUGGGGAACAUUAACUGAUCUCACUGAAGAGUGAUUCUAGAGCUCAAUGUUUAACAUCGAGUUUUAGCAGGGGGGUUUCCUUGCAUGCAGUUACAUUACUCUGACUGCAAAUAUCCCGCCCUGCCGCCUCCAGAGGCCCUCACUCUACUCUGACUACAUCCACGGUCCCUGUCCCACUGCUACUUAUCUCACAGUGGCGAAUGUGAGCCCAGGCAGAAUCCAUACCUAUCUUUCACCAUGGCCAUUGUCUGCUCUGCACCUGACUGCUGAGGCCAUGUCCACAACACCGAGACCAAGGAGGAUACCCCUCAGCCUGACCUCUUGCAUGGGCAGAUACCCACUGCUUGCUGCCUGUGUUUUAUCCCAGGCCUUCCACUCUGCCAGCCUGUUGUGCCUUCUGGGUUGGAAACAGCAUCAGUGAGUAACGUUGCAGUCCCAGAAAGGUUUCUGCUUGGUUGGCCCACUGUGUGAUAGCCAGGACCUAAGAUCUGAGAAUUGAUGGAGUGUUCAGGGGGGCAAAGUUUCUGAGCAAUAUGUUGUGAUG